rnacentral:rRNA from 1 species
UACGGAGGAUGCGAGCGUUAUCCGGAUUUAUUGGGUUUAAAGGGUGCGUAGGCGGACUGUCAAGUCAGCGGUAAAAUUGAGAGGCUCAACCUCUUCCCGCCGUUGAAACUGGUGGUCUUGAGUGGAUGAGAAGUACGCGGAAUGCGUGGUGUAGCUGUGAAAUGCAUAGAUAUCACGCAGAACUCCGAUUGCGAAGGCAGCGUACCGGCAUCCAACUGACGCUGAGGCACGAAAGCGUGGGGAUCAAACAGG